rnacentral:rRNA from 1 species
AGAGUUUGAUCCUGGCUCAGGAUAAACGCUGGCGGCGUGCAUAACACAUUCAAGUCGAACGGAGACCGUCAAGCAGCUUGCUGGCGAGACGGAAUUAGUGGCGGACGGGUGAGUAACGCGUGAGCAACCUGCCUUUGCGAGGGGAAUAACGACAGGGAAACUUGUGCUAAUACCGCAUAAAGCGGCAUUUCCGCAUGGAAGAGCCGUUAAAGGAGCAAUCCGCGCAAAGAUGGGCUCGCGUCUGAUUAGAUAGUUGGUGAGGUAACGGCUCACCAAGUCAACGAUCAGUAGCCGGACUGAGAGGUUGAACGGCCACAUUGGAACUGAGAAACGGUCCAGACUCCUACGGGAGGCAGCAGUGGGGAAUAUUGGGCAAUGGGCGAAAAAGCCUGACCCAGCGACGCCGCGUGAGGGAAGAAGGUCUUCGGAUUGUAAACCUUUGUAGACAGGGAAGAAGAAAGUGACGGUACCUGUAAAGUAAGCCACGGCCAACUACGUGCCAGCAGCCGC